GGCUCAGACGAAACGCUGGCGGCGUGGCUAAGACAUGCAAGUCGAACGGACCUGUUAAUUUAUUAGCAGGUCAGUGGCGAAAGGGUGAGUAAUGGAUAGGUAACGUACCCCGUGCUCUGGGAUAGCUGUCCGAAAGGACAGGUAAUACCGGAUGAUAUCACCGGCUGACGGGUCGGUGAUCAAAGAUUUAUCGGCGCGGGAGCGGCCUAUCUCCUAUCAGCUAGUUGGUGAGGUAACGGCCCACCAAGGCGAAGACGGGUAGCGGGACUGAGAGGUUGGCCCGCCACAUCGGAACUGAGAUACUGUCCGGACCCCCACGGGGGGCUGCAGUAACGGAUCUUGGGCAAUGGGCGAAAGCCUGACCCAGCGACGCCGCGUGCGGGAGGAAGUCCUUCGGGAUGUAAACCGCUGUCAGGGGUAAGAAAGUCUGUUUCGGCAGAUUGAUCUAACCCAGAGGAAGUCACGGCUAACUCUGUGCCAGCAGCCGCGGUAAGACAGAGGUGGCAAGCGUUGUUCGGUAUCACUGGGCUUAAAGCGUGUGUAGGCGGAAGCGUAAGCAUUUUGUGAAAUCCCCCGGCUUAACCGGGGAAUCGCUUGAUGUACUGCGUUUCUUGAGGCAGGUAGGGGUGCGAGGAACUCUUGGUGGAGCGGUGGAAUGCGUAGAUAUCAAGAGGAACGCCGGUGGUGAAGACGUCGCACUGGGCCUGUCCUGACGCUGAGACACGAAAGCGUGGGGAGCGAACGGGAUUAGAUACCCCGGUAGUCCACGCCGUAAACGAUGCCUACUAGAUUGUGGCGGUUCUGACGCCGGCACAGUCGAAGCCAAAGUGUUAAGUAGGCCGCCUGGGGAGUACGGUCGCAAGGCUAAAACU
rnacentral:rRNA from 1 species